rnacentral:ncRNA from 1 species
ACUUGAAUUAAGAGGCAACUCUUAACUGGCCAGUUAGGGAAAGACCGAGAGGUUUAAGCUUAACGGGCAGAAAGCUUCACAAAGUAGCACUAAACAUAGUGAAGCGGGGGGUCUGGCGGUAGUGCUAAAACGACGGACCAA